AACGUCCGUCGUGAAGAGGGAAACAACCCAGACCGCCAGCUAAGGUCCCAAAGUCAUGGUUAAGUGGGAAACGAUGUGGGAAGGCCCAGACAGCCAGGAUGUUGGCUUAGAAGCAGCCAUCAUUUAAAGAAAGCGUAAUAGCUCACUGGUCGAGUCGGCCUGCGCGGAAGAUGUAACGGGGCUAAACCAUGCACCGAAGCUGCGGCAGCGACGCUGAUGCGUUGUUGGGUAGGGGAGCGUUCUGUAAGCCUGUGAAGGUGUGCUGUGAGGCAUGCUGGAGGUAUCAGAAGUGCGAAUGCUGACAUAAGUAACGAUAAAGCGGGUGAAAAGCCCGCUCGCCGGAAGACCAAGGGUUCCUGUCCAACGUUAAUCGGGGCAGGGUGAGUCGACCCCUAAGGCGAGGCCGAAAGGCGUAGUCGAUGGGAAACAGGUUAAUAUUCCUGUACUUGGUGUUACUGCGAAGGGGGGACGGAGAAGGCUAUGUUGGCCGGGCGACGGUUGUCCCGGUUUAAGCGUGUAGGCUGGUUUUCCAGGCAAAUCCGGAAAAUCAAGGCUGAGGCGUGAUGACGAGGCACUACGGUGCUGAAGCAACAAAUGCCCUGCUUCCAGGAAAAGCCUCUAAGCAUCAGGUAACAUCAAAUCGUACCCCAAACCGACACAGGUGGUCAGGUAGAGAAUACCAAGGCGCUUGAGAGAACUCGGGUGAAGGAACUAGGCAAAAUGGUGCCGUAACUUCGGGAGAAGG
rnacentral:rRNA from 1 species